UCGGUUGUGGUCUAGUGGUUAGGAUUUACGGCUCUCACCCGUAAGGCCGAAUUCGAUUUCCGGCAGCGGAA
rfam:Angiostrongylus costaricensis strain Costa Rica genome assembly, scaffold: ACOC_contig0002381